rnacentral:rRNA from 1 species
GAUUAAGUUAUUAAGGGCGCACGGUGGAUGCCUUGGCACUAGAAGCCGAUGAAGGACGUUACUAACGACGAUAUGCUUUGGGUAGCUGUAAGUAAGCGUUGAUCCAGAGAUUUCCGAAUGGGGAAACCCAGCACAAGUUAUGUUGUGUUAUCGACAAGUGAAUUCAUAGCUUGUCAGAAGGCAGACCCGGAGAACUGAAACAUCUUAGUACCCGGAGGAAGAGAAAGAAAAUUCGAUUCCCUGAGUAGCGGCGAGCGAAACGGGAAGAGCCCAAACCAAUAAGCUUGCUUAUUGGGGUUGUAGGACACUCUAUACGGAGUUACAAAGGAAUAUAUUAAACGAAUCAUCUGGAAAGUUGAAUCAAAGAAGGUAAUAAUCCUGUAGUUGAAAAUAUAUUCUCUCUUGAGUGGAUCCUGAGUACGACGGAGCACGUGAAAUUCCGUCGGAAUCUGGGAGGACCAUCUCCUAAGGCUAAAUACUCUCUAGUGACCGAUAGUGAACCAGUACCGUGAGGGAAAGGUGAAAAGUACCCCGGAAGGGGAGUGAAAGAGAACUUGAAACCGUGUGCUUACAAGUAGUCAGAGCCCGUUAAUGGGUGAUGGCGUGCCUUUUGUAGAAUGAACCGGCGAGUUACGAUCUGAUGCAAGGUUAAGCAGAAAAUGUGGAGCCGUAGCGAAAGCGAGUCUGAAUAGGGCGUGUAGUAUUUGGUCGUAGACCCGAAACCAGGUGAUCUACCCAUGGUCAGGUUGAAGUUCAGGUAACACUGAAUGGAGGACCGAACCGACUUACGUUGAAAAGUGAGCGGAUGAACUGUGGGUAGCGGAGAAAUUCCAAUCGAACUUGGAGAUAGCUGGUUCUCUCCGAAAUAGCUUUAGGGCUAGCCUCAAGUGAUGAUUAUUGGAGGUAGAGCACUGUUUGGACGAGGGGCCCCUCUCGGGUUACCGAAUUCAGACAAACUCCGAAUGCCAAUUAAUUUAACUUGGGAGUCAGAACAUGGGUGAUAAGGUCCGUGUUCGAAAGGGAAACAGCCCAGACCACCAGCUAAGGUCCCAAAAUAUAUGUUAAGUGGAAAAGGAUGUGGCGUUGCCCAGACAACUAGGAUGUUGGCUUAGAAGCAGCCAUCAUUUAAAGAGUGCGUAAUAGCUCACUAGUCGAGUGACACUGCGCCGAAAAUGUACCGGGGCUAAACAUAUUACCGAAGCUGUGGAUUGUCCUUUGGACAAUGGUAGGAGAGCGUUCUAAGGGCGUUGAAGCAUGAUCG